GAAAUGUCCUUGGGGAGAAAGCUCAUCUGUAGGCCAACCUAGAAGGUUGGGCCAUCCUGGAAAUAGCAUAAUACCCAGUUUUGAUGGUAACACAUUGGACCUUGUAAAAGAUGGAUGAAAUGAAUUUCUGGGCUACCUUUCCAGUUUUCUCCUUCCAGCUCAGAAAGCAAUCACUUACUAAUAUCAUAUGAAGAGAGAGAGAGGGAGAGAGACAGAAAAACCUUUCUGCAAUUUACAAAAUUGCAGAUGGAAUGACAGGGACAGGAUUUACUCCCCACUGGAAGCAACUGGAAAACUGGAAAAAAAUAUACAAAACAGCAGUUCUCAGGACAUUGUGUGCAGG